rnacentral:rRNA from 1 species
UACGUAGGGUCCGAGCGUUGUCCGGAUUUAUUGGGCGUAAAGAGCUCGUAGGCGGUUCCGUAAGUCAGAUGUGAAAACUCAGGGCUCAACCCGGAGACGCCAUCUGAUACUGCGGUGACUGGAGUCUGGUAGGGGAACACGGAAUUCCUGGUGUAGCGGUGAAAUGCGUAGAGAUGUGGAGGAACACCGAUGGCGAAGGCAGCCUCCUGGGCCAACACUGACGCUCAUGCACGAAAGCGUGGGGAGCAAACAGG